UACGAAGGGGGCUAGCGUUGUUCGGAAUUACUGGGCGUAAAGCGCGCGCAGGCGGCUUCUCAAGUCAGGGGUGAAAGCCCAGAGCUCAACUCUGGAACUGCCUUUGAAACUAGGAAGCUUGAGUACGGUAGAGGUGAGUGGAAUUCCCAGUGUAGAGGUGAAAUUCGUAGAUAUUGGGAAGAACACCGGUGGCGAAGGCGGCUCACUGGACCGUUACUGACGCUCAGGCGCGACAGCGUGGGGAUCAAACAGG
rnacentral:misc_RNA from 1 species